rnacentral:misc_RNA from 1 species
AACGCACGAGACCUGCGGACCUGCGGAAGGAUCAUUAUAGAGUUUUUAACUCCCAAACCCAUGUGAACUUACCUUUGUUGCCUCGGCGGAGCCUACCCGGUACCUACCCUGUAGCGCCCCGCCGGUGGACUUCUAAACUAUUGUUAUUUUAAUGAUAUCUGAGAGUCUUAUUUUAAUAAGUCAAAACUUUCAGCAAUGGAUCUCU